rnacentral:rRNA from 1 species
GACGAACGCUGGCGGCGUGCUUAACACAUGCAAGUCGAACGGAAAGGCCCUGCUUUUGUGGGGUGCUCGAGUGGCGAACGGGUGAGUAACACGUGAGUAACCUGCCCUUGACUUUGGGAUAACUUCAGGAAACUGGGGCUAAUACCGGAUAGGAGCUCCUGCUGCAUGGUGGGGGUUGGAAAGUUUCGGCGGUUGGGGAUGGACUCGCGGCUUAUCAGCUUGUUGGUGGGGUAGUGGCUUACCAAGGCUUUGACGGGUAGCCGGCCUGAGAGGGUGAUCGGGAACACGGGAACGGGGACAAGGUGAAGAGACCUACGGGAGGCAGCAGGGGGGAAUCGGGGGCAAUGGGCGGAAGCGUGACGGAGCCAGCGCGAGUGGGUGAAGAAGGCCUUCGGAUUGUAAAACUGUGUUGUUGGGAAAGAAAAGAAGUGGGAGGAACCACGGCUGGCUUGACGGUACCCAAAGAAAAAGGAACGGCUAACUUCGUG